ensembl:lncRNA
CUGCGGCGGGGGAGCAUCCUCCUCGCCGAGGAUGGUUUCCCUCAGGUCCUGGGUUGGGGGUUUCUCCGGCCCCUUUCGCUCCUCCUGCAGCGGAGACGGCAGCGGCUUUAGGAGACGCUGUGCGGCCCUGAGCAUCCCCGUCCCCGAACUCGUGUCCCCACCGCGUCUGCAUCGCCCGCCGGGGCAGGCUCGGCUCGAAGCCCGGGCAAGGGGCGGAGGAGGCAGGAUUUCGGCUGCGGACCCCCCAUCAGCUGGACUCACCCUGGCAGGAGGGAUUAUUGGGGCCCUGUCAUGGAUGGGGACGGUGGCUGCUUCUCCCAAGUCUGCAAUACAGCGAUUUUGGAUGUGAAUAAAAGCACGAAAACCAGGCAGAAGACAUUACAGGGAGACGCUCCCCUGCGCCCAAGCGGGUGUCGCCACCCAAACUGGUGCCAAACACGUCGCGGCAGGUCGGACCGUGUCUUACCCGAGGAGUCGCUGCUCGAGGCCACUUGGUUGCCGCUUUCUGCGAAACGAGGCAAAUACACAGGUUGCAUUAGAAUAAUUUGGGGGUUGGAUGCACUUUGCAAAAGCCCCAGCAAGUUCCUUCUGGGAAGCCGGUCGUGCCAGGGGCCCUACGUGCAAGGAAGGGUUUUGGUUUUGCUUUGCAGGAACUAGUGAUGCCUUAAAAGCAGGCCUAUGACUAGGCCAGAAUUUCAGGUCGUACUAAAACAGAAAAGAAGAAGUCCUGCGCUACAGACCAAAUCUGGAACCGGGCAGCCCAAAGGUCAGGAAGAGCACGAGCAAAGCAACGGCCACAAAAAUGACCGGGGACCAGUACCGCACGGGAACGGCCGACGCGUUUUCUGGAAGAGACGAGAGGCUGGUUGCACCGGUUGCGCUCUGCGGAAGCGGAGCGGGCGCUUCGGGGCGCGAGACCCUGGCUUUGGGGUACUCACGGCUCUUGUUCCCCGCGGCGCCCGCUCCCGUCGGCGGGGCGGAGGGGUCGGCGGCCCCGUCCCCCGGGGGGACCCACGUCCACGCCGCCGGCUCAUCCCCUUCCCCGGCGGUGGAGUUGGGGGCCCCCUYGGGCCCCGGGACGCCGUCGGGCUGCUGGAGGCUUUGGCCUCCCUGCUCCUCUCCUACGAGGACGAGAGCUGGGAACAAAGUUCGUUAAUUCACAUCAGCGCUCGAUAGCUCCAGCGGCACCGGUGCCGYGUUCCCAAACGCGAGCGGCUCAGCCCAGGACCCAUUUCAGCCUCGCGGCGUUUGGGCUCAGGAGCUUGGCAGUCUCCUCCUGCCCUUUGCUUUCCGGGCUGUCUCGCACCGGCUUCCUGCGCUUCUCCACCAACGCGUGAGAAAACCAUGCGUGAAACAAGCGCUGGCGGUUUGCAGCUCUUUUCCCAGCGUGCAGCGUUUCCCCCCCCGCACGUCACGUCACGCCGAGCCGGAGAUGGGGCAACAGCCGGCGGGGACAGCUCAGGCGGCGCACGGUGGUGGCGAGACGGCCCCGGGGCUCGCGGGCCUGAGUCAGAGCUGCCCACGGCGGAGCCGCCGGCGACCUCGGUGCUCCCGCCUGCCCGAGCAUCCCUGGCGCGCGUCCUGCAAGAAGCCCGGCCCGAGCGGCAGGACACAUUGCCGGAGCCAGGAACGUGCAAGCCCGGGGUUGCAGCACCCCCCUGCUGCAAUGCAAGAGCCCGGACGCCCCAACGCCUCCCUCCACCGCGAGGACGUGGGAGGUCCGAGCCUGCUCCCGGCUAACCGGCCCCCGUC